rnacentral:rRNA from 1 species
UACGGAGGGGGCAAGCGUUGCUCGGAAUCACUGGGCGUAAAGGGCGCGUAGGCGGGGAGGUAAGUCGGGUGUGAAAUCCCUCGGCCCAACUGAGGAACUGCGCCCGAGACUGCUUCUCUUGAGUCCCGGAGAGGAAGGUGGAAUUCCCGGUGUAGCGGUGAAAUGUGUAGAGAUCGGGAGGAACACCGGUGGCGAAGGCGGCCUUCUGGACGGUGACUGACUCUGAGGCGCGAAAGCGUGGGGAGCAAACGGG